GUAACUCACACAACCAUCUCGGUAGCUUUUUUUACAUCAACACUGAAGGCCGAACUCAGACCGUCGCCUAGAUGAGAAGUGGUCAUAGCGAUAAUGGAAGGGAAAUUUUUUGACGCUUAAAAUUACACGGAUGUGAAUUACACGGCACCAAAUUGGAGGCGUUUGCCAACCGGGUCACCUAAUACUGAGGAGCUCCAAGGGAAAAGAAGGGACGUGCUAAAAGGUUGGACGCGCGGCUGGGGUGCGGAAUUAAUGCCUCUAAUUCCAGAUUAGAUUUCACAUUCAACGUUGCUCAUUGUCGAAGCUGCGACCAGAAGAAGAGACCGCUUGCGGCGAAACCCGAGUCUGCACGGAGCCAAAUGGUCCGGAGGAUUCACACAGCGUCUGCGUUAGAGGGCCUGGAGGCAGUGCGUCAGUGGUCCCAGAGAUGACCAGGUGGUCAGCGCGGGUGUUCGUUCCCGGAACGGACUCACCGAGGGAAUCUCCGUAUGUGGCUGACGCGGAAGG